rnacentral:rRNA from 1 species
GACGAACGCUGGCGGCGUGCUUAACACAUGCAAGUCGAACGGUGAAGCGCCUUCCUUUUUGGUGGGUGUGGAUGAGUGGCGAACGGGUGAGUAACACGUUAGUAACCUGCCCCCUUCUUCUGGAUAACCGCAUGAAAGUGUGGCUAAUACGGGAUAUUCUGGGUCUGUCGCAUGAUGGGUCUGGGAAAGAUAUUGUUUCGGUGGGGGAUGGGCUCGCGGCCUAUCAGCUUGUUGGUGGGGUGAUGGCCUACCAAGGCGGUGACGGGUAGCCGGCCUGAGAGGGUGGACGGUCACACUGGGAAUGAGACACGGCCCAGACUCCUACGGGAGGCAGCAGUGGGGAAUAUUGCACAAUGGGAGCAAGCCUGAUGCAGCGACGCCGCGUGAGGGAUGGAGGCCUUCGGGUUGUGAACCUCUUUCGCCAGUGAAGCAGGCCUGCCUAGUUUGUGGGUGGGUUGACGGUAGCUGGAUAAGAAGCGCCGGCUAACUACGUG